rnacentral:rRNA from 1 species
UACGUAGGUGGCAAGCGUUGUCCGGAUUUACUGGGCGUAAAGAGCGCGCAGGCGGCCUGAUCAGUCGAAUGUGAAAGCCCCCGGCUUAACUGGGGAGGGUCAUUCGAUACUGUCAGGCUCGAAGGCAGGAGAGGGAAGCGGAAUUCCCGGUGUAGUGGUGAAAUGCGUAGAUAUCGGGAGGAACACCAGUGGCGAAGGCGGCU